rnacentral:rRNA from 1 species
GGGUUCGAGUUCUGGCUCAGGACGAACGCUGGCGGCGUGCUUCAUACAUGCAAGUCGAACGAGAAAUCAACUUCGGUUGGUGGAAAGUGGCGGACGGGUGAGUAACACGUAGGUAACCUGCCUUUCAGUUUGGGAUACCCAGAGGAAACUUUGGCUAGUACCGGAUAACUGGUCUGGAGGCAUCUCCGGAUCCUAAAAGGGGCUCCAAAGCCUCGCUGAUUGAUGGACCUGCGGCGCAUUAGCUAGUUGGUGAGAUAACAGCCCACCAAGGCGAGGAUGCGUAGCCGACCUGAGAGGGUGAACGGCCACACUGGAACUGAGACACGGUCCAGACUCCUACGGGAGGCAGCAGUAGGGAGUUUUCGGCAAUGGGGGAAACCCUGACCGAGCAACGCCGCGUGAGUGAUGACGGCCUUCGGGUUGUAAAGCUCUGUUGUAAGGGAAGAAUGAUACGGUGAGGAAAUGCUCCGUAUUUGACGGUACCUUAUUAGAAAGCCACGGCUAACUACGUGCCAGCAGCUGC